rnacentral:rRNA from 1 species
GAUGAACGCUAGCGAUAGGCUUAACACAUGCAAGUCGAGGGGUAACGUGUUGGAAGCUUGCUUCCGAUGACGACGACCGGCGGAUGGGUGCGUAACGCAUAUGCAACUUGCCUCACAGUGGAGAAUAACCCGGAGAAAUCCGGACUAAUACUCCAUACACUCUUAAGUACGCCUGUACAUGAGAGGAAAGAUUUAUCGCUGUGAGAUAGGCAUUCGUCCUAUUAGGUAGUUGGUGAGGUAACGGCUCACCAAGCCGACGAUAGGUAGGGGUGCUGAGAGGCAGAUCCCACACAUUGGGACUGAGACACGGCCCAAACUCCUACGGGAGGCAGCAGUGAGGAAUAUUGGUCAAUGGAGGAAACUCUGAACCAGCCAAGUCGCGUGAAGGAAGAAUGUCCUAAGGAUUGUAAACUUCUUUAGCGAGAGAGUAAGGACUUCAACGUGAUGGGAGUUUGAAAGUAGCUCGAGAAUAAGUAUCGGCUAACUCCGUG